UGGGAACGUGCCUUUUGGUUCGGGGACAACUCAGGGAAACUUGAGCUAAUACCGGAUGUGCCCUUCGGGGGAAAGAUUUAUCGCCAUUAGAGCGGCCCGCGUCUGAUUAGCUAGUUGGUGAGGUAAAGGCUCACCAAGGCUUCGAUCAGUAGCUGGUCUGAGAGGAUGAUCAGCCACACUGGGACUGAGACACGGCCCAGACUCCGUACGGGAGGCAG
rnacentral:rRNA from 1 species